rnacentral:lncRNA from 1 species
UUAAAUUUAUUAGAAAUAAGGAAGUCUAAAGAAGAUGAAGUUGCCUAUCCACCUCUUCUACCUUGCAACGUAGAUCUACGGCAGGUCACCAUAAUUUCACAUGAUGAGUGGAAAAGAAUUCAGGAUAGCCUGGACAGUAUGACAAGAGAAGCAGCAGCUUUUCGUGCAGAAAGAAAAGCAAAGAAAGAAAUGCAUUUACGAUCCCAAGAAGUGGUAAAACACUGGACUAAUACAUAUGCAGUAAGUAUUAAUCUUCUAGGAGUCCACACGCACUAAAGACUUGCUCUUGUUUCUUAAUAUUCAUUUAUACUUCUUUUACCAGGAUUUUAUGUGUAAACUGUCAUAAAAUAACAUUGAAACAUAUUUUAAAAGCAUUAUUUAGGUAUAAGUGACAUACAACAAACAAUUCAUAUUUAAAGUUUACAUUUUGAUAAGUUUUGAUAUACGUAUAUGCCCCAAACCCAUUGUUAAAAUUAAUAUAAUGAACACAUUCAUCGCCCAAAAGUUUUCUCAUGUCCUAUUUUACUCCCUCUGACUUCUUUCUAUUUCUUCUUUCCAUCCCUACUUAUCUUAUUAAUGUAAAUUUUAUUCACCAUAGUUACUUUGAGAUUCAUUCAUAUAAUGUGUAUAUCAAUUGUUUAUUCAUUUUUAUUUUUGGACUGGGGAUUGAACAUAGGGUGCUUUACCACUGAAUUACAUCCUGAGUCCUUCUUAUUUUUUAUUUUGAGACAGGAUCUCACUAAGUUGCUGAGACUGGCUUCAAGUUUUAAACCUCCUGCCUCAGCCUCCUGAGUUGCUGGAAUUGCAGGUGCAUACCCUCAUGCACCUGGCUGUUUAUUGCCAAGUAGUAUUCUAUUGUAUGAUACAUAAUGAUUUGUUUAUCUAGUUGCUGGUUGAUGGUUUGACAGCAACCAAAUGUUGCUAUUUGAGUUAUUUCUCUCUUGGUCUCUUUCUUUCUUUCUUUAUGGCUAUUACAAAUAAAAUUGCUGUGAACAUUCAUAUACAAGUCUAUAUGUAAAUCAUGCACUGUGGUGCAUGCCUGUAAUCCCAAUAUUUUGGGAAGCUGAGGCAGGAGGAUUAUAGUUUAGCAAUUUAGCAAGACCCAAAGCAAUUUAGCCACAUUCUGUCUCAAAAUAAUAAAAAUUUUGGGCUGUGGGGCUCAGCGGUAGAGUGCUUGCCUCGCACGUGCGGGACCCUGGGUUCGAUCCUCAGCACCACAUAAAAAUAAAUAAGUGAAAUAAAGGUAUUGUGUCCAGCUACAACUAAAAAAUAAAUAUUUUUUAAAAAUAAUAAAAAUUUUAAAAAGGGCUAGAGAUGUAGUUCAGUGGUAAAGCACCCUUGAGUUCAGUACUGGGGAAAAAAAUAUACAUACAUAUAUAUAUGUAUACACACACACAUAAACUCACACAUGCACACACAUUUCCAUUUCUCUUGAGUAAAUAUUUUAGCGUAGAAUGACUAAAUUAAACAGCAGAUGUAUAUUUAACUUUGUAAGAAACUUCCAAAAUGUUAUCCCAAUGGAGUUGUAAUUUUGCAUUUCCACCAUUAGUGCAUAAGAGCUAAUGGGUGUUAAGUAUCCUAUUGUAGUUUAAAUUUGAAUUUGUCUGAUUACAGAUGUUGUUGAAUAUCUUUUUUUAAAUAUAUUUUUAGUUGUAGAUGGACCCAAUACCUUUAUUUUAUUUUAUUUAUUUAUUUUUAUGUGGUGCUGAGGAUAGAACCCAGUUCCUCAUACGUAAGAGGCAAGCGCUCUACUCCUGAGCCACAAUCCCAGUCCAAAUAUCUUUUAAUUAACUUAUUUUCUACCAGUACAUCUAUUUUGGUAUAGUGUCUAUUCAAAUUUUUUGCCUGUUUUAAAAUUAGGGUUGAAUUCUUAUUAUUGAGUUUAGAGAAUUUAAAAAUGCAUUCUGUCCUUUUUUUAGAUAUUAAAUCCUUUAUUAAGUGUUUUAUUUGAAAAUAUUUCUUCCCUGUAUGUGUCUUGGCUUUUCAUUUCUUUACCUUAUAUUUUGAAGAGCAAAAAAUAUUAUUUUGUUUUGUUUUGAGACAGGUCUUGCUAUAUUGCCAUGCUGGAAUUGAACUUAUAGGCUCAUUUGAUCCCUUGCCUCAGUUUCCCAAGUAGCUGGGAUUAUAGGUAUGUGUUACCAGGCCUGGUGUGUUAGUCAGGUUUUUGCCAAUGUGACCAAAAUACCUGACAAGAACAACUUGGAGAAGGAAAAGUUUAUUUUAGCUCACAUUUCAGAGAUUCAGUGUAUAGUCAGGCAGCUCCAUUGCUUUGGACCUAACAUGAGGCAGAACAUCAUGGCAGAAGGGCAUGGUGGAGAAUAGUUGCUCAGCUAGAGCAACUAUUAGAGAGAGGUAGGGACUAAGGUGGAGAGAGAGAGAGAGAGAGAGAGAGAGAGAGAGAAAACAAAGGACCAGGGAUAAAAUAUAAUCCCCAAGGACAUACCAACUUCCUCUAGCCAUGCCCUACCCUCUCUUUAGUACCAUCCAGUAAUCCAUUCAAAUUAUUAAUCCAUCAAAUGGAUUAGGUUAUAGCUCUCAUAAUGUAAUAAUUUUACCUCUGAACAUUUCUGCAUUGCUACAUGAGCUUUUGGGCAGAUAUCUCAUAUCUAAACUGUAACAUCUAGCUAAGAACAGAAGUUUGUUUGGUUUCUUUUGUUUGUUUGUUUUGGUACCAGGGAUUGAACUCAGGGGGCACUUGCCCACUGAGCCACAUCCCCAGCCCUCUUUUGUAUUUUGUUUAGAGACAGGGUCUCACUGAGUUGCUUAGCACCUCGAUUUUGGUGAGGCUGGCUUUGAACUCAUGAACCUCCUGCCUCAGCCUCCCUAGCCUCUGGGAUUACAGGCGUGUGUUACCAUGUCCAGCAGAAGUUUUUAAUCUUAGUCUAGUUUAUCAGUUUUUCUUGUAUGAAUUAUUCUUUAAAAGUUUAUCUAAAAAAUCUUUACCUAACCUAAGAUCACCAAGAUUUUCUCCUAGAGUCUUAAAAUUUUGUUUCACAUAUAGGUUUAUGGGCUAUUUUUAGUUAAUUUUUUAUAUGUAGUGAGGUGUUAAUUGAAAUUUUUUGCACAUGAAUAGCUAAUUGUUACAGCAUAAUUUUUGAAAAAACUAUCCUUUCUUCAGUGAAUUGCCUUUGUUGAAAAUCUAGUUGUUGGACUGGGGAUGUGGCUUAAUGGUAGGGCACUUGCAUGGCAUGCAUGAAGCCCUGGAUUUGAGUCCUACCACUAUGGGGUGGGGAGCUAGAGAAAAAGAAGAAGAAGAAGAAGAAACAAAAGAAAACCCAGUUCCUUCAUAGGUGUAGGUGAAAUUACUGGAUUCAAUUCUGUUGAUGUAUUCUUCUGUCAUUACUCCAAUAACACAGUCUUCAUAACUGUAGAUUUAAUGUUAAGUCUUGAAAUCAGGUAGUAUCAGUCUUUCAACUUUGUGGGGUUUUUUGUUUGUUUGUUUUGGUGGUACUGAGGAUUGAACUCAAGACUUCAUGCAUGCUUAGCACAUACUCUACUACUGAACUACAUCUCUAGAUUUGUUUAGGCUAUUCUAGGUCUUUUACAUUUCCUUAUGAUGUUUAGAAUCUGGGUGUCAAUUCCUGCAAAAAAAAAAAAAAGGCAUCUGGAAAUCUGAUUGGGAUUGUGUUCAAUUUUAGAUCAAUUUGGAGAAAAUUUACAUUUUGACAAUAUUGAAUCUUUCCAUUUAUUUGUCUUUAAUUUUAUAUAAAACAUAAAAAUAUUUCAUAGUUUUUAUCCCUAAGCAUUUGUUAUUUUUGAUGCUAUAGUAAAAUGGUAUUUUGAANUUUUUUUUUUUUUUAGUGCUUUUUGGUGCUCUCUAUUAAGAUGAUUAUGUUUUUUUUUUUAUUUUCCAGUUUGUUAAUUAUGAUAUAUUGAUUUCUUUUCCUUUUUUUAGAGAGAGAGAGAUAAUUUUUUAAUAUUUCUUUUUCAGUUUUCAGUGGACACAACAUCUUUAUUUUAUUUUUAUGUGGUGCUAAGGAUCGAACCAGCGCCCCGUGCAUGCCAGGCGAGUGUGUUACCGCUUGAACCAUACCCCAGCCCAAUAUUUUCAAAUCUUAAACCAAGCUUACAUUCCUGGAAUAAACCCCUGUUGGUCAUGAUGUAUUUCCUUUUUAUAGAUUCAGUUUGUUAAAAUAUUGUUGGUUUUUUCUGCUAUGUUCAUGAAGGAUGUUGGUCUAUAGUUUUCAUGAAAUGUUUGGUUUUGUUAUCAGAGUAAUGCUGUUUUAUGUUUAAAAUGCAAGAUUGCACAGAAAGAGGGCUUGAAAUUAUCAUGGCAGGUUUUCAUCAUCUACCUCUUACUUGUCUUGUCUGCUUGCCUAUCUUUCUCUUUAGAAUUUCAUAGUGACGAGCUGGGGAUGUGGCUCAAGUGGUAGCGUGCUCACCUAGCAUGCGUGGGGUGCUGGGUUCGAUUCUCAGCACCACAUAAAAAAUAAGAUGGGGAUAUUGUGUCCACCUAAAGCUAAAAAAUAAAUAUUAAAAAAAUUCAUAGUGUCCUUGCUGUGCUUCUCUGUUUCUUCUAGAUUCCCUUUACCUAGGAGAUAACAGUAACCCAGUUUAAUUCCAUAUACUUGAAUGAAAACUACUUCAAAGUGGGAAGGCAUCCCCUGAUUCCUUUUGUUAUCUCAUAUGGGGAGAAAUGCUGGGAAAAGGUUAUCCCCACACACACUUUCUUAUAUCAUUCGAGGCACAGGGAGGCACAAUUGUUUUCUGUGUUCUAAUAGAAUUGUUAAAACUAUAGGUAAGUGUAAGUUCUGUUUAGAGAAUUCUCACUUUUUUUUUGAACAUUUCUUUACUUAGUUGAAAUAUAUAUUAUUUAUAUUUGGAAAAAGACUAGAUAGCUUCUGGUAUGUUGCUUUAGGAAUAUUAUUCAUAUUUUACUAAUUUUUUUUCCUGGAGGAGAGAUGAGUUAGAUCAUGUCUGGUAUCAUAUAUGUAACAAAUGGCAUUCUGAAAAAGGGAAAGGAAACUGAUUAGUGGUUGCCAAAGGCUGCAGGCGUGGGGAGGAGUUGAUUGUAAUGGGCCAUAGGGAAAUUUGGGGGGAGAAUUAAAAUGUUCUAUAAAUGAAUAUAUAAUAUGUAUUUCAUAUGUAAUAUGAAAUAAUAAAAGGUAGUAUGUACAUUAUAAUCUAAAAGUCUUGAUUUUAAAAAAACUACUACAUAAAUGGAUGGAGUAAUGCUAUAUACCUUUUAUUUUGUUUGUAUACUCAAGUAACACGUUAGUGCUACUUUAACACUCACUCCAUGAGUGUUAAAGAAGAAUAAAUGAAGGUCCAGCUUACUAUCAGCAAGAUUUACUAUAGACCCAUAGCAGUUAAAACUGUGAUAUAGGGGCUGGAGAUGUGGCUCAAGUGGUAGCGUGCUCGCCUGGCAUGCAUGCGGCCCAGGUUCGAUCCUCAGCACCACAUACAAAGAUGUUGUGUCCGCCAAGAACUAAAAAAUAAAUAAAUAUUUAAAAAAAAACUGUGAUAUAAGCACAGAGAUUAUAAUAAGUCUGAUGAGACAGCCUAGAAACCCAUUUUAUAUGUGGGAACUUGCAGAUGAUGGAAAUGUUAUUCCAAAUUAGAAGGGAAAGCAUUCCAUAACUGGUACUCAGGUAACUGACAUAUGACAGCGAUUAAAUUAUAUCCCAAUGGUACAGAAUACAGAAAAAUGAAUUUUAACUGAGUUAAAGACCUAAAUUUAAGCAUAGGUCAUAGAUUCUCAUUAGGAAAUCAGGACAAGUAGGAUUUUCUUAAGAAAUAGAAAGUGUGACCAAUAAAGGAGAAGAAAGACCUUGAAUGACAUAAGACAUUCAGUAAACUCAGAGGUGUAGAAGAACAUACAAAAUAUGCCAUUAUUUUUAGUUAGUUGUGUGUGUGUGUGCAUGUGGGGUACUAGUGAUUUAACCCAAGCCCUCAUACAUGCUAGGCAAGCUCCCUAUCACUGUGCUACAUCCCCUUUUAAAGUUAUAUUCUGAGACUGGGUCUUGCUAAGUUGCCCAGGCUUGUCUCGAACUUAUGAUUCUCCUGCUCCAGCCUCCCCACUACCUGGGAUUAUAGGCAUUCACCACCACACCCAGUUCUACUGUCAGUUUUUUAAAGAAGCAAAAGUGGGCUGGGGAUGUGGCUCAAGCGGUAGCGCGCUCGCGUGCGGCCCGGGUUCAAUCCUCAGCACCACAUACAAACAAAGAUGUUGUGUCCGCCAAAUACUAAAAAAUAAAUAUUAAAAUUCUCUCCCUCUCUCUCUCUCUCUCUCUCUCUCUCUCUCUCUCUCUCUCUCUCUCUCUCACUCUCUCUUUUAAAAAAAUAAAGAAGCAAAAGCUAUAAGAUAUAUAUUUAUUAUAUAACCACCAAGAGAAACUUUAGAAGUACAAACACCAAAACUAGUAAUAGUGGUUAUCAUAGACUAAGAGGAGAUUGGAAGUUAGGGUUGAAGAAGUAUUAUAUACUUCUAAAAUAAUUUUGGAUUUUGAGCCAUGUAAAUAUGUUACCUUCCUAAACAAUUCAAUUUAAACAAUUAGCUCCAAGGCUGCGAUGUGGCUCUGUGGUACAGCACUUGUCUACUAUGCACCAGGCCCUGGGUUCAAUCCUGGCACCACAAAAAAAAAAAAAAAAAAGCUUCUACUGGGUGUGGUGAUGCAUACCUAAUCUCAACUACCUAGGAGGCUGAGGUAGGAGAAUUUCAAGUUUGAGGCCAGCAAGUUAAUGUGACCCUCUCUCAAAAUAAAAUUUUAAAAAGAUUUGGGAAUGUAACUCUGGUAGAUUACUUAUCUGUCAUGCCAAGGCCCUGGAUUUGAUUGCCCAUAUCUACCCCUACCCCACCACACACACACACACACACACACACACAAUUAGGUCCAAAAUGUAACCUUGUGAUUAUUAGUGAAAUAAGAAAAUACAAUAAAAUCUUAUGAUGAAAGUUCAAAUUAUAAUGUUAAAUUUUGGUAAAAUUAAAUAGACAAUGAAAACAAAAGAUUGCUUUUGGGCUAGGGGUAUAGUGCAGUGGUAGAGCACUUGCCUAACAUGUGUGAGGCCCUGGUUCAAUUCCCAGCACUGGAAUAAGAUAAAAGUUUUCUUUUUUCUUUUUUUACAGGGGAUGAAACAACAGAAACUUAAAGCUAAAAAGAAGCGUGAUGAAGAAAUUGAGGCAGAAAGAAAAAUUCUUGAUAUAGAAGAAGAAAUAUACAAACAAGGAGAAAGAAAAAAGGCCAUUGAACAUGCAAAGCAGUAUCAGUUUUACCAAACAGAAAGAAUGAAACACUUUCAUGUAUUACUUGAGUUUUCUCUUUUUGUAUAUACAUAUAUAUUUUAACAUAUGUAUACAAAUUAGACAUUAUUUUCCUAAAAUACUGCAUUUUUUUUUUUUGUAGUCAGGACUUCUUCUCAGUAGAGUCAUGAAGGAACGUGAUGCCCAGAUUGAAUUCCAAAAGAGUAAUUUAAAAUCAGAUAAAAAAUGGGAAGAACAAUUGAAACUCAACAUUGAAAUGGCUUUUAAAGAAGAGCAAGAAAAAGCAGAAAAAAGACACAGAGAAAGAAUAGCUCUUGCCAAUGAUCAUCUAAAACAGUAUGUAUACAUAAAUUAACUUUUUAAAAACUUUUUCUUAUAAUGGAUAUUGCUUUUUUAUCCCCCUGACAAUGAAAGUAAUAGAGGCUAAAAUACUUAAUAGAAAAAGUAUAGAGAGGGUAGGGAGCUGGGGAUGUAUUAAUAGAAUACUUGCGUAUCAUCUUAGAAAGAUGCUGAUUUUGAUCUUCAGCACUGCAAAAAAAAAAAUGUUAAAAGUCACUGUCACUCCUAAAUUACAUGUCAGUUACAAUUGCUGUAGUAAUGCUGCAUAACAAACAAUGAUAUAUCCUAGUUCCAUUCAACAAUAAACAUUUACUGGGGGCUGGGGAUGUGGCUCAAGCGGUAGCGUGCUUGCCUGGCACGCGUGCGGCCCGGGUUCGAUCCUCAGAACCACAUACAAACAAAGAUGUUGUGUCCGCCGAAAACUAAAAAAUAAAUAAAUAAAUAAAUAUUUAAAAAAAAAAAAAUUUACUUUUCAUGCAUCUGUUGGUUGAGUGUGGUUGGUGCCCUAGGCUGGAUUUAGCUGGGCAGCUUUUGUUUAAGCAGCAGGACUGAGUUUGCUCAUUGCUGUGGGCUGUGGGGAGGAUUCUGAUCUAUUCCAUGUCUUUUCAUUUUGAGGUUGAGGAUGAAGAAGCCUCCUAGGGUAAACUCAUCUCAUGGUGUUGAGAGACGUACAAGAAAAUAAGCUUGUAACAAUGUGCUCAAACCUAAAGUCAAAGAAUAAAGAGGGUUGGGCAUGGUGGUGCAUGCCUGUAAUCCCAGCUACUUAAAAGACUAAGGCAGUAGGAUUGCAAAUUGGAGGACAACCUGGGCAAUUUUGCUAGACCCUGCUCCAACAUAACAUUUUUAAAAAGGACUGGGGAUGUAGCUCAGUGGUAGAGCACUUGCCUAGCAUGUGAGAGGCCCUGGAUUCAACCCCGAGUACCACAAAAAGAUAAAGAAGGUCCUUUUGGUAUAACACAAGUCUAAAGCCAGUCACGUGGCCAAUUUUAACAGCAGUAGAACAGAGAAAUAGACCCCCUUGGAAGUGGUGAGGGGUAAUGAAUCUUUUUUUUUUUUUUAAACCAGUAAUCUAAUCGAGAACAGGAAUUUAUUUUUAUUAUUUUGGCUGGAAUCUUGCUAUAUUGACUGGGCUAGUCUUGAACAUGUGGGUUCAAAUGAUCCUCUCUCCUCAGUCUUCUGAGUGUUUGCAACUACGCUGUGACAUCAUGUCUGUCUGAGAUAUUUUUUAAAAAAUUCUUUUUCAUUUGUUAGUUUUAGGUGGACACAAUAUCUUUAUUUUACAUUUAUGUGGUGCUGAGGAUCGAACCCAGUGUCUCACAUAUGCUAGAGGAGCACUCCACCACUAAGCCACAACCUGAGCCCUGUCUUAGACAUUUUUUGAUGGUGGAGACAUCAGGUUCAUUGACAUAUAAUUUACAUUUAGUAAAAUUCAUCUUUUUUAAAAAAAUAUGUAGCUUGGAGCUGGGGAUAUAGCUCAGUUGGUAGAGUGCUUGCCUUGCAUGCCCAAGGCCCUGGUUUCAAUCCCCAGCACCACACAAACACACACACACACACAAAGUAUAUAGCUGCACAAUCACCACCUACAUCAAGAUAUUUUCAUUAACCUAAAAAGUUUCCUUCAUGACCCUUUACAUAAGUUUUCUCCCUUACCCCUUGCCCAUGGCCAUCAUUGAUCUACUGAUACAGAUUUGUUUCUUUAAAUGUAUAUACUCACAUUUUAUAAAAUGAAAUUGGAUUAACAAUAUCAUUUUAUUAAAUGCUUUUUUAACUUACUUGUAUGUCAUAUUUAUAAUUAUUAAUUACAGAUGUCAGGACUCGGGUUAUAGUACAGUGGCAGAGUGUUUGCAUCAUAAGCUCUGUUUUGAUCCUCAGCAAUGCAAAAGGAAAAAGAAAAGCAAACAGAGUCACAAAUGUCUACGUAUCAUUUUCAGUUAUUCCUGUCCUUUGUAAAAAAAGAAGAGAAACCUUUGGAUUUGUUGUAAUUUUUUUUUUAUUUAGCAGUGUAAAGAUCUAAGGGUUUUUUUUAAAUUUAUUUAUUUAUUUUAAUUUUUAUUAUAGAUCUAAGGGUUUAUACAAGUUAGAAAUGGAGCCAUUGGCAGAGAGAAGCAAGUAAUUGACAAGUGAGUCUCCUGUAGUUAAGAAAUCUCUCUCUGGGGUUCGGGUUGUGGCUAAGUGGUAGAGUGCUUGCCUAGCAUGCAUGAGGCACUGGGUUCGAUCCUCAGCACCACAUAAACGUAAAAUAAAGAUAUUGUGUCCACCUAAAACUUAAAAAUAAAUUUUUUUAAAAAGAAAUCUUUCUUCCUAUAUUGUGACUUGGAGAUAAAGUUAGCAGCCUAACCUCCAUCAAGCUACUUGGCAAGUACUAACAUCUUCACGGGCUGUCUGCCUACCCAUAUCCUUGUAUGUAAACUGUGUUUGGCUACAGAAUCCCCUUUUCUUGUGGUGUUGGCAAUAGGUCAGAAGUUCAAGCAGGCUUGUUUUAGUUGUUUUUUUUUUUUAUGUAUCUUAUGUUCCAUCUAGGAAACGUUCAAGCUGGUCCCCCUGGUGAACACCUUGUAAUCCCAGUGACUUGGAAAGCUGAGGCAGGAGGACUGCAAAUUUGAGGUCAAUCUGGGCAAUUUAGUGAGAUCCUGUCUCAAAAUAGAAGGAGAAAAAAAGGAGGAUUGGGGAUGUAGAUCAGGCUUCCAGAAUAAUUCUCUCUAGAGAGAACUAACUGUAGAUUCCAUAAAAACCCCUUUAUUCCCUCAUACUCCCAAUGUCCUAAGGACCUCUCACUAGGUUAUACUUCUUAAAGGUUUUGCCUUUAAGGGUUAAGGGUUAGGGUUAGGCAAGGAGCUGAAGUCUCUGCAACAGAUAUGUGAAAGUGGAUUUUUCCAGCUUCGAUCAAGUCUUCACAUGAUUACAGCCCCAACUGACAUCUUGUCUGAAACUCUUUGAGAACCACCCACCUAAGUCACUCCCAGGUUCCUGACUCAAAAAAAUGGUAUAAGACAAUGAAUGACCACUGUCUUAAGCCACCUCAUUUUGGGAUAAUUAUUUACUCAUCAAUCAAUUACUGAAACACAUCGUACAACUUCUGAUACUCUUUCUAGUGUGCCUAAAGUUGAGAUUUUUCUUACUUUAUAAAUAAUUCCUAGGCUCCAGACCUGAGCAGGCUGUUCCACUGUGGGGCGUUGAACAGUGUAAGAGUCUACCUGUGACUAAUAGUCUGAUGGGGAUAAGGCAAAUAAGCAACCAUGGUGACAUCACCAUCUCCAAAUAGAGAUAUUUCACCAUGAACCUUAAACAUAAUUACUAAAAUAAACUUAACAGUAUCUGUUGGUGCUACAAUAGCUCUCAUUCUUUCUAUAGAUAGUAAAGUCCUUCUCUUAGAAAGAGGCUCAUAGGCCUUGUUUAUAAAAGACUCAGAUUACUAUCAAUACUAUCAGUUUUUCAAAAGAAGGAAAAAUCAUCAGUAGGAUAGUUUGCACCACUUUUCCCUGGUAAGAUCAUCUAGGGAAAGGGUAGAAAGAGAAAAGAGGGCUCAAGUGAUCUCAUCUAUCUUAUAGAUUUAAAUGCCAUCCUAAGUUUGGUUAGUCUAGACCACUUCCUUGAGCCACCCCAUUGCACAUGAUCCUCAGUUAUGUUCAUGAUAUCUUCAUGUUGAUGUGGCAUAGGUAUUUUAAACACAAGUCUAACACAGAAUAUGGACUCCCCACCCCUGCAGUGGAUUUUCCAUUGGCAUCCUUAUCCACCCAGUUUUUCAAACCAGAAACUAGGAAUCCACCUUGAUUUCUCAUUUUCCUUUAUCUUGCAUAUCUUAAUCUUGCACAUCUCACUAAAAGCAAUUCAUGUUAAUUUAUCCAAAACAAAUCUUGAAUUUACUGCUAUCAUUUUAGUCUAAGCCACCCUCAUAUAGCUCAUGGAUUAUUGCAUCAGUCUCUAAAUUAUGUGAUGAUAUUCUGCUUUCUCAAUCCCUUCUUUAAUUAUCUUCUACAGAGAUCCUGUAAAAGUGAAAAUUGAUCUUAUUAUUCUCCCACAUUCAACAUUUCAAUGACUUUCCAUUCAUUUAAAAUAAAAUGGAGAGAUGGGCAUGGUACCAUAUGUCUGUAAUCCUAGUGAUCGGGAAGGUUAAGGCAGGAAGAUUGUGAGUUCAAAGCCAGCCUCAGCAAAAAUGAGGCACUAGCAACUCAGUAAGAGCCUGUCUCUAAAUAAAAACAAAAUAGUGCUGGGGAAGUGGCUUAGUGGUUGAGUGCCCCUGAGUUCAAUCCCCAUUACCUCAUACAUGGGAGCCACACCCAAGCCACCUGCUUUAUAAUUUUAGUAGAAAUUCAAUAAAUAGUUAUUAGAUAAUUGAACAAGAGUUGUAAGGAUUAUAGAAAUGUUUGUAUGAUUCUUAGGGCAACUGAAAAGAUGGUGGCACUAAUGACCAAAAUAAGAAAAGGAGGAUUGGGGUUCAGCUCAGUAGUAGAGUGCUUGCCUAGCAUGCUCAAGGACCUGAGUUUGAUCCCUGUUAUUGGAAAGGAGAGAGAGAGGAAACAUCAAGGAGAUUAGUUUAGAAGGGGAAAAUGAUGAAUUUGGUUUUAGACAUAAAGAAUGUAAUGUAUCUAUGCAGUAGCCAGUUAAUGAUUCCUAGUGGGUUGUCUCUAUAAGAAUCAAGCUUAUCAGUUGGGCAUGGCACUCAUCUGUAGUCCCAAUUACUUGGGAGACUGAGGCAGGAGGAUCGCUUGAUCCCAUGAUUUUCAGGCUACCUUGGGCAACAUAGUGAAAUCCCAGCUCAAAAAAGAAAAUUAGCUGGGUGUGGUGGUGCACGCCUCAGGAGGGUGAGGCAGGAGUAUUGUGAGUUCAAAGCCAGCCUCAGCAACUUAGCAAGGCCCUAAGCAACUCAGUGAUACCCAGGCACUAAAUAAAAUACAAAAAAAGGCUGGGAUUGUGGCUCAGUGGUUAAGCACCCCUGGGUUCAAUCCCUGGUCCAAAAAGAAAAGAAAGAAAGAAAAUUAAAACAAAAAUCAAGCUUAUCAGUUGAAAUAACUUGUAAUAGACUUUUUUUGUGUGUGUGCGUGUGUGUGUGUGUGUAUGUGUGUAAAAAUGCUGGGGAUGAAACGCAGGUCCUCCCAUAUUCUAGGCAGUACUCUACUACCGAGCUACACCCUAGCCUUAGACUUAAUUUUUUAUGUUUGACUUCCAACUUUGUUAUAGGUCUUACCUCUCCCUUUCACUUUAGUUUCACAACUAGACGGGCUGUUAAGGCCCUCUGGUCUCACCUCCUCUUCCUUUGACACUGGUGGGAAACACGCAGAAACUUUCCCUGAGUCCCGCCUCUGGUCCACAUUACAGGCCCAAAUCCACUCUCUGCUUUGCCCAAGACAAUCAAGACGUACUUGAACCUGCCCAGCUCUCCUGGGGAGUUAUCUUGUGUGAACACACUUUCUCAAAUUCUCUUGGUGCAUGGAGUGUCAUCAAUCUUGACAUUUGGACCAAAUUUGGAGUAGAGGUCCCUCCUGCUUUUAUAGGAGAACUAUAAGAGAUUUGUAUCUGCUCAAGAAUCAUAUCUGGCCAGGUGUGGUGUCACAUGCCUGUAAUCCUAGAGGCUCAAGAGGCUGAGGCAAGAGGAUUUCGAGUUCAAAGCCAGCCUCAGCAAUUUAAUGGGCCCUAAACAACUCAGUGAGACCCUGACUCUAAAUAAAAUACAAAAAAGGACUGAGGAUGUGGCUCAGUAGUUAAGUACCCCUGGGUUCAAAAUACAGAUUUAGGACCCUCAGAAUGUGAGUCAGAGAUAGCAAAGAGCUUUCACGAUUCCUUGAUAAAGACUGUCCAUUGCAUAGGGUUGAUAAGAAACAGGACUCAACAGGAAGGAGUUAUGUGUUAUUUAUCAGCAUCUGCUGUGGGCAUGAGAGUUGCAUGUAAAGAUAUGAAUAUUGAAUAUUCCUUGGCUGGAGGAUCUCAGGUUUCCUCUAACACACUAACUCUGCAUUAAGCCAAAUUAAAUAAUUGAGUGGUCUAUCCAAACUACCAAACUAAUAUAAAGUAUUUAUUUAUAAGUAAUUAAAAUUUUAAUAUUAUAAAUUAUUAUGAAAGUGAUUGGUAAUAUAUUACCUUUUAAUCGACACAAGACAUGUUUUUGUUCUAAUUUAUUCCCAGAAUAAGUAUUUGUUUUUACCUAAACAAUGAAUUAUCCAAUGGAUACCUAGCUAUCAUGUUAAUGAUUCCCAGAUUUGCUAAGAUGUCAAGUAGCAUUUUUUUAAUAUCUUGUUUUCCCUUAAAGAAGCAAUUUUGAAACUUCAAAAAUGUAGACAUAAAAUAUUAAAUAGUAUUAACAAAACAAAUAAGCAAAUAAAUAUUUGAAAUUUAAUUUUUUCAGGCAAUCUUAAAUCUGGUUCAGCUAUGGCCAACAGUGACCUUUUUCUUAGUCCCCCCUAAAGAGAAUGAGUCUGACUUUACAGAUACCUACUCUGUUCAGAUGAGUCAAUGACAAAUAUCCUGUCCUGGAUUUACUGGCUCACUUAACCACAUAGGACAGUGUGGCACAGGGGAAAGGGAUUUUCCUCUCCCUAAAGCUGUGUGAAAGGACUCUAGGAAAAAUGUUGGUCUGAUUCAGUACCUAUGGAAGGAAAGUUUAUUCCUCAGUUGUUUGUGUGUUUGCAUUGUUGAUUUACCUUGUGCCUACCUGUUCAGGAAGAAAAAUAAUGAUAGAGGUGGCAGAAAGAAUGUCAGUAGAACAGGCUGUACACCUAUUGACUGGCCGACAAGGAUGCAUGAGCUUUCCAUGGGCAGGUAGACAUCUUGGGCAUGAGCAGUCUUGCCAGUGUGCAGAAUUGGCUGCCAGAUGAGGGGCCUCUGGCAUACAGAAUAUGCUAUAAACAACUGGUGGUGAGAGCUCCUGGUAGUGAUGGUGAUGGAUUUGGGAGGUGAGUUGAAGAGGUGGAGCUGGAGAUCAAUCUCCUGGAGCAGCAACCCACACAUAAUCUCAGAGAGUCAGCCAGCCAUUGGAGGCUUACCAAUUAGUAGAUAUUAAUAUCUAGUCAGUGUUGGCUACAAAAAGAGUGACAACCAAAGUAGCCAGUUGGAUAAAGAGAGUUUUGUUUCUCUCUUUCCAUCAAACCCCCCAUCACUUGUGAUUCAGUGGUUGAUCACCCCUGGGUUCAAUCCAAAGUACCCAAAACAAGCAAACAAAAAAAACCUCAUCACCUAAGGGGCUCAACCUGUAGCUUAUGCAGCAUCAACUUGUAGUGAAAUUGAGAAGCACUAGAGAUUAUGAACUUUUCUGUAAAAUAAAAUUACCAUUCCCCUUUACUGUCAUUCAGUUAACUGGUUCUUUCUAAAGAAAAGGAAUACUUGAAUCUGGUAUAGACCAUAUUUAGGUUAGGAGUGAAACAACUUUUGAAGAAAGGAAAAUAUUGGCAAUUCUGGACUGUUUAGAUUUGUUUUAGUCACUACUUAUCAUUAUGUUUCCCAAAGAAAUUCACAGAUUCAUUCUUAUAGCUUCAAAUCAUCCUACGUUAGAAUCUUAUUCAUUUCUUUAAAAUAUAACCUAUUUUUAUGAUUUAUACUCAGUUAUACUUAUGUUUUUGCUUAAGAAUAAAGG